ACACGGCCGUGCCUCACCUUCUCACAGUGUGGACAUUCACACAGCGGCGUCUGGACGUUGCUGAGCUGAUGGUGACUGAGUAAAGCCUGAAUCAGACGCUCCAGCUCGCUCUUUCUCUCCACCGCAGCAGAGCAUGAUAGUGGAUGAAGGCCAGGGUUCGGGUUCAGCUCCAGCUCCAUCAGUGCUGUUAUGGGUUCGGCUGCUCUCAGUGGAUGUGCAGGGCAGCAGCUCCAGAGCCGCAGAGCGACUGCUGGACGUCCAUCCAUCAUGAUGCUGAUGCUGAGAGUGGGUGGAGCGUGUGGAGUGAUGCCCCGCCCUCUUACUUUUCACCAGAAACGAUCGUGGCAUUUCAAAAGCGGGACUGAAGCCACGACAGAUGAGCAGUAGCUGUAUGUCUGUUGGCGUCAGACUCACCCACGGGCGUCCGGCGGCGGGCGGCGGGCGAUGCAGAUGCGUCUGGUUGUGAGAGUUGUGAUUCGGUUCUGAAGCUGCUACAGGAAGUACGAGAGUUUUCUGAUGU